AGAAGCCUUCGGGUUGUAAACUGCUUUUGUCAGGAAAGAAAUCUUCUGGGCUAAUACCCCGGAGAGGAUGACGGUACCUGAAGAAUAAGCACCGGCUAACUACGUGCCAGCAGCCGCGGUAAUACGUAGGGUGCGAGCGUUAAUCGGAAUUACUGGGCGUAAAGCGUGCGCAGGCGGUUAUGUAAGACAGAUGUGAAAUCCCCGGGCUCAACCUGGGAACUGCAUUUGUGACUGCAUGACUGGAGUGCGGCAGAGGGGGAUGGAAUUCCGCGUGUAGCAGUGAAAUGCGUAGAUAUGCGGAGGAACACCGAUGGCGAAGGCAAUCCCCUGGGCCUGCACUGACGCUCAUGCACGAAAGCGUGGGGAGCAAACAGGAUUAGAUACCCUGGUAGUCCACGCCCUAAACGAUGUCAACUGGUUGUUGGACGGCUUGCUGUUCAGUAACGAAGCUAACGCGUGAAGUUGACCGACUGGGGAGUACGGCCGCAAAGGUUGAAACUCAGAGGAAUUGACGGGGAACCCGAACAAGCGGUGGAUGAUGUGGUUUAAUUCGAUGCCACGAGAUAAACCUUACCU
rnacentral:rRNA from 1 species